CCAGAGAUGGAUUCGUGCUCGAAAGAGAACCUGCACACAGGUGCUGCAUGGCUGUCGUCAGCUCGUGUCGUGAGAUGUUGGGUUAAGUCCCGCAACGAGCGCAACCCUUGCCAUCAGUUGCUACGAAAGGGCACUCUGAUGGGACUGCCGGUGACAAACCGGAGGAAGGUGGGGAUGACGUCAAGUCCUCAUGGCCCUUAUAGGUGGGGCUACACACGUCAUACAAUGGCCGGUACAAAGGGCAGCAAACCCGCGAGGGGGAGCCAACCCAUCAAAGCCGGUCGUAGUCCGGAUCGCAGUCUGCAACUCGACUGCGUGAAGUCGGAAUCGCUAGUAAUCGUGGAUCAGCAUGUCACGGUGAAUACGUUCCCGGGUCUU
rnacentral:rRNA from 1 species